UGGAGAGUUCAGUGCCGGGUUUAAAAAGU
rnacentral:piRNA from 1 species